rnacentral:rRNA from 1 species
AACGAACGCUGGCGGCAGGCUUAACACAUGCAAGUCGAACGCCCCGCAAGGGGAGUGGCAGACGGGUGAGUAACGCGUGGGAAUCUACCUAGUUCUACGGAACAACAGAGGGAAACUUCUGCUAAUACCGUAUACGCCCUAAGGGGGAAAGAUUUAUCGGAAUUAGAUGAGCCCGCGUAAGAUUAGCUAGUUGGUGGGUA